rnacentral:lncRNA from 1 species
AGAAAUACAGAAAAGGACAAUGCGAGUUUUGCUUCAUGGGGGCUGCUGCGAAAUCUGUGAUAAAAUAAUUAUAAUAUUAUCUUCCGUUAUUUUCCAUUUCUGUGAGAUGAAAAUGGCGUCCCGACUUUUAACUUCUAACUUGUUUGUGUUAUUAAAUUUGUGCCUAAUUUCCUCUUGUUAUUGUCGCAAUUCUCAUUUAUAUUACGAAACAGAUAGCUUGAGUUUUGAAGAUUAUGACUUCUCACCCAUUGAUCAUGUUCGAGCAAAACGGAGUCCCUACAAUUUAUCUCAAGACUCCGCUCAUAUCCUGCGCAACGCCAAUUCUAGUGAUGACAUCUCAGGAAAACCGAUGAGCAAAUCGAUUUCUAUCACUGAGCCAAUUGAUCCCAAUGCAAACCAUAGCCCCUCUGUAGCACACUCACCAAUACUUGUUUCCAAUCCAGGCGAGAGUGGAAAAUAUCCUCGAGGCAAAAAUUUCACUGGUCUAACUCGAGUUUCUCCCAUCAGCUCUGGUCUAAGCACUCCCCACAUCUUUGGUGGCAUAAGUUCAACCUCUGAAAUACCAGCUCUUGCCGAUGAGCAAACUCUCGUUCCAUCUUACCUGACCCAAUCAAUAAUCAAACCUUGAGUGAGCAUGACAUCAGCUCCAGCACCAAUGACACACAAUCGUAUUACACUCACACCAUUUAUAAUGAUCCAAAAACAG